rnacentral:rRNA from 1 species
UACGUAGGGGGCUAGCGUUGUCCGGAUUUAUUGGGCGUAAAGAGCGUGUAGGCGGCCAGGUAGGUCUGCUGUUAAAACUCGAGGCUCAACCUCGAGACGUCGGCGGAAACCAUCUGGCUAGAGUCCGGAAGAGGAGAGUGGAAUUCCUGGUGUAGCGGUGAAAUGCGCAGAUAUCAGGAAGAACACCCGUGGCGAAGGCGGCUCUCUGGGACGGUACUGACGCUGAGACGCGAAAGCGUGGGGAGCGAACAGG